GUGCACUGGAAAGAGAACAUUCAGAUGUGUGACCUACUUGCUAAAUCUGCUUUAGGACAUAUCAAGCAAAGGCAGCUAUUUACAAAUGCAAGGAGAGGCACUUCUCACACAUACUUUAAAUGGCAUUAUGAAACCAGACUUUCCUUGAAGAGCAAAGCUGGGAGUGAGAAACAGUCCUGAGAAACACACACAGGCGGCAUCAGGCUGCGCACCGCGGAUACACUACCUUUUCCUUGUCUGUCCUCCACCGAGCCCACGGACAGCCUGCUUGACCUCUAUCCUGGCUACUGAAAAGUUUUGAAAAUAUUUCGAGCACCUACCUCUCCAUGAUUGAAAAAGAAGCAUGACACCGUUACGAGGCCUCCCAAUCGGCUGCCGCUGGAAAAAAGAAGAGGACAAGGAAAUGGGACUGGAGAACAGUACAGUGAAGCCCAGGUUGGUCCCAACAGAACCUUAAAGGGACACGGUAUGGUGGCCUUCCACAAAUGCAGAAUUCUCCUAUACAGUUUAUUUCCUCCAAAGUAUCAUUAGCCAAAAAUCAUUUUAUCUUUAAAACAAUCGUCGGCUGUUUUCAAAAUGUGCACUCCCAGACCAGCCAACAGAAAGGGAAGGGGAAAGUCCUGCAGCCCUCACCAAGUGUCUGCAGCCUGGCUGCAAUUCUGGAAAGCAUCAGAAAAGUGGCACAGCACAUAAAUAUCAAAGUAUGGCAAUCAGGCUUCAAAGUGCUGGCAGCCUGGGAAGGACACCUUCAUCUUCUCUGGGAAGAGGGAACACCUCCCCGCCCUGCCCUGGACACCUGGGAAGAGGAUGCAGGCUGAUUCCAGUUGGCUGCAACUUUGCUUUCCUUCGUAUCCCUCGAGGUUAUUCCUCGAUUGAACACUUGCUGCUUUCUCAGUAUCUACUCCAGGAUCACCCCCCACACCUGUCACCUGCAAGUGCGCCCAUGACAAAGUGAGGACUGGGCAGUGCACAGGCCCGGCCUGCUCAGGCUCCCAGGUCUCAGUGCUUGCUCUUGGGGAUAAAGGUGAUGGCAGGGAGGGGCUGCACUGUGAGCACAUCCCUGAGGGCAGAGGAGGGGAGAGCUGUGUGUCCUUGGUGGUUUCCAUUUUCCAUAUGGGGCAGGCACAGCCACUUUCUGCUCAGAAGGACAGGAGCACCAAGAGAGGGCUGAAGGCCGAAAUACCACGGGCCCGUAAGGAGAGACAGGGCAAGGGGCCCACAGGGUCAUGAGCCAUCUUUCAGGGGGCAGGUGAGGUGGGAAGUGACCACUAACAUUCCGGGUCUCUAACUAGAGGGCUGUGUGAUUUCCCUCCAUCAGCUGACACAGGAUGGGCACGAGCAAAACAGAAGAGAAACAGAAACUCUGGAUAUGGGCUGGAAAGUGGCCAGGAGAAUGGGUCACAGGAAUAAGGGGAAAGAGUGGGGGGAGUUGGACAGGCAGGGGCACAGAGUCCUCCAGGAGGCAUCCAGAGCACCUUCAACGGAAGAGCAAGGAACCCACGCCCGCCUCACCCAGGGGGAACGAACAGGACACAGGCCUCUCCGGUUUCUCCCUGGAAAUUAAAGUGCACCAGCACUGGCGAAUAGAAAGAUGCUUAUUUUACAGAAGGAAACAGACAUGAGAAGGCUUAAGAUAGCUAAGGGUUUUUAAUUAUAAUAAAUUUUACUAUUCUGAGGUUUUUUGGACAACACAAAAAGAACAGUAUUUCCUAUUCAAAACAAGUAAUGUUGAUGUCUUCCUGCCCUCCAUCCUAGUCACCCAAGUCCAUCUAGGACCCUCUGUGUCCACCUCCCACGUCCUUCUCUAUAGCCACACAGAAUAGGCUUCUAAUGGGAGUGUACCAUGCACAUUCCUGUGAAACCUGUUCUUUUUCUAAUCACGAAGCUUUUUCCUAAUCAAUACAUGUAACCUAAGUCAUUCUUUUAAUAAACAUCAAAUACUGUGCACUACCACCAUAUGCAAUUUGUUCAGCCCUUUCCCUAUUAGACUCAAUCUCUUGCUAUAAUUUUGUAAAAGGUAGAAACCCUCAUUCAUGCAAUACUGG